rnacentral:rRNA from 1 species
UGGGGAAUAUUGGACAAUGGGGGCAACCCUGAUCCAGCAAUACCGCGUGUGUGAAGAAGGCCUGAGGGUUGUAAAGCACUUUCAGUGGGGAGGAGGAUUGACAGGUUAAGAGCUAGUUAAUUGGACGUUACCCACAGAAGAAGCACCGGCUAACUCCGUGCCAGCAGCCGCGGUAAUACGGAGGGUGCGAGCGUUAAUCGGAAUUACUGGGCGUAAAGGGUGCGUAGGUGGUUGUAUAAGUUAUCUGUGAAAUCCCCGGGCUCAACCUGGGCAGGUCAGAUAAGACUGUAUGACUCGAGUAUGGGAGAGGGUAGUGGAAUUUCCGGUGUAGCGGUGAAAUGCGUAGAGAUCGGAAGGAACACCAGUGGCGAAGGCGGCUACCUGGCCCAAUACUGACACUGAGGCACGAAAGCGUGGGGAGCAAACAGGAUUAGAUACCCCCGUAGUCCCUGAGCGGGCUGGCAAGGCGCAU